GGCAGGUCUUGGCACAAUUGUAAUUUAUUUCAUAGCAACUUUCUUUCUCACUCUUAGUAGUUGUGCACCUUAUCUGCUUAAUGUUAACAUUUAGCCAGGUCUUUAUGCUGCAAAGUAAAGUAACCGCUAUUUAUGUGGAGCAGUCGACGCCUCCAUGGUGGAUUGCGCAUAGCAGGACUGCGAUUGCCUCAAAAAAGUUUUUCAGCGUCGGCAACCAUGGCUAGUCAGGGGAAAGAUGGCGGGGCGCAUUGGAGUUGUUUGUUGUGUUUGUUAUGCGUGUUCGCGAAGUCGUCGUCCCAUGUGUACUCUCUCUUGGUUUCAAGUGGACGAAUUUACUAUUCAACAGGAACGCACAGUGACAGUUCUUCAACUGCGUCUGCGAUGUGUCUGCGCUGAAUUCGGCGAAAUAACGGUGACCCAGUCGGGUGGGAGUGGUUGACCCUCUAUAGGGCCCCCCUCGACGAUGGACCCCCCCCCCCCCCCCCCCGCUAUGUGGCAUCAAAUUGGGGACGCUCGGUUUGACGUGACCUGUUCCUGCCCUGUCGGGCGUACUGUUUUUGACGUUCGUCCGCGCUGCCUUGUCGAGCGUUCGCUCAGACCACAGUACGACCCACAGGAACUUUCGCUUUUGAGGGGCUCUUGAGCAGCGGACGUUUUAGGCAGAGGGGGCAACGCAAUACGUGAGAGGAACCCGAUAUCUUUCCUGCUUUCCUGCCGCGGCGUUGUCGCUUGUUCAUGUUCUCCGGCUGCCAUUGAAGUAAUCUGACAUCGCGUACUUGCGCAACAACCAGUUGAAUGCCCGCACUUUAGUAAGGAUGGAUGAAGAGCAAUUGUGUGCCUUUCAAGAUGUGGAUGGAAGCGAGCGUUAUUCAUUAUUAUAUACAAGAAAGAAAAUGGAUGUCCUGAUACUCGAAAGUCCCUGUCGACACGAGGCUUUCCCAUUGCACCCAGCCUCCUGCGUGCCAGCAAUAGCAAUGCAGGACGUCCAUCAACAUCUUCGCGGCACUUUACUUCGACUGUUGUGGACAUGCCGAAGAAGUUCCAGUGCCGACAGUGCCACUACUCGACCAACAUUAUGACCAACCUGCGACACCACGUGCGUGUGCAUUCGGGAGAGCGACCGUUCAAGUGCUCGGACUGUGGCAAGGGCUUUAUCCAGAAGAUCCAGAUGAUCAAGCACAACUGCACCGCCCGGAUGCGUGACAUCAUCAUGCCCACAUCCACGGUGUCGCCAACGGGACUUCCGCCUUCAUCGCCAGGACCACCAGCGAACUCACUCUUCAGUUGCUCCAAGUGUGGAGAGGCGUUCCUCCGUGAAGCGCUUCUUUUGCAGCAUGUGAUGCUCAUGCACAUGACACCUUGAGCCAGUUGCGACCUUCUGACAUAGUUCAGCUGGCCACGAAGUAGUUUUUGCCAAGCUGGUUUGUCACUAGGUCAGUAGAAUAGCACUGAAACUGAACAAAGAAUGUUGAUAAGAAAGGUGCCGAUUAUCAACUGGUCAGCUGCGUUGUGCAAUGCAAAAAUGAAUGUGCAAGUACCUCUUUCUAAAAAGGUGCUUGCCUCUUUAUAGACAUUGUGCUUCACAAAAUAAAUGUCGGACUUUUACAACAAUACAGGCAUUUUCAAGCAGCAUUCACAGCAUUGUUAGUGAUGCAAUGCCUUCCCAGAAAAGAAAAGAGAAAAAAAGCUCCAUGAAGUAAUUAACUGUCAUAUCCAAUAGCCUAUUUAGGAGAUUUAGUGUGAAUUUUAGUAUGAGCUAGAAAAUGAGCUUAUCAUGUUUGUUUGUUUAUCAUGAUUUAGUUCAGGCAUGACCCAGCAUAGAGUAAAAGAUUAUUAGAUUUGGGACUGAACCAACGACCUUGUUUUCAAGCUGAACUGAACGCUAAACCACAUCUUUGAGCAAGCAUAUAUUCCACGAGACACAAAUGACCAUGACCCCCUCCCCCCCCCCCCAAAAAAAAGAACUCAUGAGCAUUGGUGAGUGUAAUAUAGGGCUUAAAACAUUGGCACUUCCGCACCGCUGUAUGCUGUUUUUUUUUUUUCACUGCUUAAGUGUUUACAUUGUGCUGCAGGUGUGUUACCUCUAGACAUAGCCGGUAGCUGAGGGCUCAUAAUUGCUGUUUGCAGGAAUUUAAUGAAGGAAACUAAGAGUCACGGCAGUCUGGUGCAAGUUUCUUCUUUUCUUUUCUUUUUUUUAGUAGAAAAUGUAAAAAUGCAUAUCAUUGCUGCAAAUCCUGUGCUACUUACAUUUUCUUAAACAUUUUCACGAAAAUUGCAGAGGAAACUUUGGCAACAAUGAUAGUUGCAUGAGGUAGUGUGUCGGAAAUGUGCUGCUGUGAUCGCUCUUGAGCCGGCCAACCUGUUGUGGUAGCUUAGAGCCUAUGGCAUUGUGCUACCGAGCACAAGGUUGCAGGUUCGAUCCUGGCCAUAGCGUCCACAUACAGAUCGGAGCAGAAUGCAAAAGCGUUUGUGUAUUGUGCGUUGGGUGCACAUGAAAGAAUCCCAGACGGCCCAAACUAAUCUGUAGUCUAUCGCUGACGUGCCUCAUAAUCGGAUCGUGGUUUUGGCACAUAGUACCUCAGCAUUAAAAUAAUUGAGCUCUUGAGCCAUAGUUAAGCAUGUAUCCUACGAUGCAUAGAUCAGCUUGAACUGACCAAAAGUUUGUAGCCAGCCGAACAUCGCCUGUUUGGGCCAUGUUUGUUUGAAACAUGAUUCAGGCUCAAGCUGUAUUACCUUCGUGUCAGACAGUCAGGCUGUGUGCAAACCCUCUAAUCAGAUUGACCAUAACAUACGUAUCAUUCGUAUGUUGCUGCAGGCAGUCGUCUCCUGCAACUCCUGCUGUGGAAGAAUGCUACUGCACACAUAUUUCAUGUGCUAACACUGUCCCUGCUUUGCACUUUGGGUGACCCUACAUUUGUGAGUCGGCAUCUGUCUCAUCAUCAUUCUUUGUCCUCUUUUUGUGCUGUUUUGUCAUCACAUUUAGUACUCGGCUGGCAAGCAUAUGUAAUGUAGCUAUGUCACCUUCGGUGACAGUAUGCAUAUUUCAAUCAAACACAUGAAAUGCUGGCUUUUAUGACACAUUGUUGCUUUAUUACAUAGAAUUGUACAUUGAUAAAGCUUGUUCACUUAAGAUUGUUAGGUCUAGUGGAUCUUUGCCUCAUACUGGCCAUUCAUUCAUGUGCACUGUUCUUUAUACAGCGGCUCCAGGUAUAGUUGCAUGCUGAGGUGAUCACUGUCUCAAUAUAUGUUCACGAUCGAUCUGCCUUACAACAAUUGGAAGUGCAUGCCAUUGUGCAAAAGUACAUUAUUCACGCACCUAGAAAGCUUAUCUGAUGUCUUUAUGUUUGUUUAGAGAUCUUUACGUGCAUAUUGCUGCCUUGUGAGGCCCUUUUUGCAUUGUUAGCUAGAUGCAGCUGAACCAACAGUGCGAUUUAGAAGAGCGCUUGAUGAUCUGCAUUCAAGUCACUGUUCACAUCAUUAAGUGAGCUUUACAGUAUCAAAAUUGUUCUGUAACAGAUGCUGCCAUGCAUUUGUGAAGUUUGAUUUAUUAAGGGGCUGUAUGUAGCACUUGCUGUAGAAUAUGCGAGCCAUCUACUGCACAUUUCAGUACCUGGCCAGAUUUUUAGGGCAGCAUAGGCACAGCAUCUUUGAAGACGGAAUUUUUUAUCCCAGUAGCAAACAUAUGAACACUCCAGGCGUAUUUCCACCAUUGCCAUCGUCGUGAUGUUCCCUAUAUAUCCAAGUGUGAUAAAAUUUUGGGCGCACACGGUAUGUCGUGGGUGCGAGUGAAAGCUUGUGAGGGUGAGCCAAGGAUGGUGGCUCGAUGUCACAUGCACAAGGGAGAAAGCGCGCAGUCUUUCAUCGUGCGCAAGGCACCAGGGACGGGGGACAUUCUGCUCAGGCGGUGACUGUGUAUGAUGCGGCUGAGCUCAUCCGCGCAGGCCCUGUCUUGAAAGCGACCUGCUGUGGGUACAGAGUCUAGACAUGCUGAGGGCUGACAGCUUUGUGUGCAUUGUGUUUUGAUCGCUUACUUCGCAUUGAAGUGAGAGGCAGCACAAAGGUCGAUUUGCUCGCUGCUGCUGCCACUCUUCCUCAUGCCAGCGUUUCGACAGCGAGUGUCUGCUAUCAUCGAGGGAGAUGUAUUCAUGUUUGCCUUUGUGCACAUGACGCCAUACUUGUUAAUUUAGU